rnacentral:rRNA from 1 species
GCAAGUCGAGCGAGGCAGCAAUGCCGAGCGGCGAACGGGUGAGUAACGCGUAAGCAAUCUGCCCCAUAUCAGGAAAUACCCGUGCCAACGCGCGGUUAAUGUCCAGGAGAGUGGCUCCUUGCAUGAGGAGGUUGACUAGAGAUUUAUCGGUAUGGGAUGAGCUUGCGUCCGAUUAGCUAGUUGGCGGGGCAACGGCCCACCAAGGCGACGAUCGGUAGCCGGCCUGAGAGGGUGAUCGGCCACAUUGGGACUGAGAUACGGCCCAGACUCCUACGGGAGGCAGCAGUAGGGAAUAUUGCACAAUGGGGGAAACCCUGAUGCAGCAACGCCACGUGUGGGAAGAAGCAUUUCGGUGUGUAAACCACUGUCAUUGAGGGAAUAAGGCCCGCCUUCGGACGGGAUUGAAUGUACCUUGAGAGGAAGCACCGGCAAACUUCGUGCCAGCCGCUGC